rnacentral:rRNA from 1 species
AGAACGAACGCUGGCGGCAUGCCUAACACAUGCAAGUCGAACGCUCUUGGGGCUUCGGUUCCAAGGGAGUGGCGCACGGGUGAGUAGCGCGUGGGAACCUGCCCUGGAGUGGGGGAUAACCGAGGGAAACUUCGGCUAAUACCGCAUGCGCCCGGGAAACCGGGGAAAGAUUUAUCGCUCUAGGAGGGGCCCGCGUCGGAUUAGGUAGUUGGUGGGGUAACGGCCUACCAAGCCUUCGAUCCGUAGCUGGUCUGAGAGGAUGAUCAGCCACACUGGGACUGAGAUACGGCCCAGACUCCUACGGGAGGCAGCAGUGGGGAAUAUUGGACAAUGGGGGCAACCCUGAUCCAGCAAUGCCGCGUGGAUGAUGAAGGCCUUCGGGUUGUAAAGUCCUUUCGGCGGGGAAGAUGAUGACGGUACCGCAGAAGAGCCCGGCUAACUUCGUGCCAGCAGCCGC